rnacentral:rRNA from 1 species
UACGAAGGGGGCUAGCGUUGUUCGGAUUUACUGGGCGUAAAGCGCACGUAGGCGGAUCGUUAAGUCGGGGGUGAAAUCCUGGAGCUCAACUCCAGAACUGCCUUCGAUACUGGCGAUCUAGAGUCCGGAAGAGGUGAGUGGAACUCCUAGUGUAGAGGUGGAAUUCGUAGAUAUUAGGAAGAACACCAGUGGCGAAGGCGGCUCACUGGUCCGGAUCUGACGCUGAGGCGCGAAAGCGUGGGGAGCAAACAGG